rnacentral:rRNA from 1 species
CCUACGGGAGGCAGCAGUGGGGAAUCUUGCGCAAUGGGCGAAAGCCUGACGCAGCAACGCCGCGUGGGGGACGAAGGCCUUCGGGUUGUAAACCCCUUUCAGCAGGGACGAACAUGACGGUACCUGCAGAAGAAGCCCCGGCCAACUACGUGCCAGCAGCCGCGGUAAUACGUAGGGGGCGAGCGUUGUCCGGAUUUAUUGGGCGUAAAGAGCUCGUAGGCGGUUUGGCAAGUCGGGUGUGAAAACUCCGGGCUCAACUCGGAGACGCCACUCGAUACUGCCAUGACUCGAGUCCGGUAGGGGAGUGCGGAAUUCCUGGUGUAGCGGUGAAAUGCGCAGAUAUCAGGAGGAACACCGGUGGCGAAGGCGGCACUCUGGGCCGGAACUGACGCUGAGGAGCGAAAGCGUGGGGAGCGAACAGGAUUAGAUACCCUAGUAGU